CCUACGGGUGGCAGCAGUGGGGAAUAUUGGACAAUGGACGCAAGUCUGAACCAGCCAUGCCGCGUGCAGGAAGACGGCUCGAUGAGUUGUACACUGCUUUUGUACGAGGGUAAACGCAGAUACGCGUAUCUGUCUGAAAGUAUCGUACGAAUAAGGAUCGGCUAACUCCGUGACAGCAGCCGCGGUAAUACGGAGGAUUCGAGCGUUAUCCGGCUUUAUUGGGUUUAAAGGGUGCGUAGGCGGUCGGAUAAGUUAGAGGUGAAAUCCCGAGGCUCAACUUCGGAAUUGCCUCUGAUACUGUUCGGCGAGAGAGUAGUUGCGGUAGGCGGAAUGUAUGGUGUAGCGGUGAAAUGCAUAGAGAUCAUACAGAACACCGAUUGCGAAGGCAGCUUACCAAACUACGACUGACGUUGAGGCACGAAAGCGUGGGGAGCAAACAGGAUUAGAUACCCCUGUAGUC
rnacentral:rRNA from 1 species